rnacentral:rRNA from 1 species
AACAAACGCUGGCGGCGCGUUUUAAGCAUGCAAGUCGGACGGCAAGAGCUGUAGCAAUAUGGCUCCUAGAGUGGCGAACGGGUGAGUAACACGUAGGUGAUCUGCCCUUGGAUGGGGGAUAGUCCGUGGAAACACGGGGUAAUACCGCAUGAGGCCUUGUGGGUAGAGCCAUGAGGUGAAAGGUGCAAUUGCACCGUCUGGGGAUGAGCCUGCGGUCCAUUAGGUAGUUGGCGGGGUAAGGGCCCACCAAGCCUACGAUGGAUAGCCGGCCUGAGAGGGUGUACGGCCACACUGGAACUGAGACACGGUCCAGACUCCUACGGGAGGCAGCAGCUAAGAAUCUUCCGCAAUGGGGGAAACCCUGACGGAGCGACGCCGCGUGGACGAUGGAGGCCGUAAGGUUGUAAAGUCCUUUUCCUGGUGAAGAAUGACUGGAGGAGUGGAAAGCCUCUGGGAUGACGUUAGCCAGGGAAUAAGCCCCGGCCAAUUACGUGCCAGCCGCCGCCGUAACAC